rnacentral:rRNA from 1 species
GGGUUGUGAGGUUAAGCGACUAAGCGUACACGGUGGAUGCCCUGGCAGUCAGAGGCGAUGAAGGACGUGCUAAUCUGCGAUAAGCGUCGGUGAGGUGAUAUGAACCGUUAUAACCGGCGAUUUCCGAAUGGGGAAACCCAGUGUGUUUCGACACACUAUCAUUAACUGAAUCCAUAGGUUAAUGAGGCGAACCGGGGGAACUGAAACAUCUAAGUACCCCGAGGAAAAGAAAUCAACCGAGAUUCCCCCAGUAGCGGCGAGCGAACGGGGAGGAGCCCAGAGCCUGAAUCAGUGUGUGUGUUAGUGGAAGCGUCUGGAAAGGCGUGCGAUACAGGGUGACAGCCCCGUACACAAAAAUGCACAUAUUGUGAGCUCGAUGAGUAGGGCGGGACACGUGGUAUCCUGUCUGAAUAUGGGGGGACCAUCCUCCAAGGCUAAAUACUCCUGACUGACCGAUAGUGAACCAGUACCGUGAGGGAAAGGCGAAAAGAACCCCGGCGAGGGGAGUGAAAAAGAACCUGAAACCGUGUACGUACAAGCAGUGG